rnacentral:rRNA from 1 species
GACGAACGCUGGCGGCGUGCUUAACACAUGCAAGUCGAACGGACAGGCCCUGCUUUUGUGGGGUGCUCGAGUGGCGAACGGGUGAGUAUCACGUGUGUAACAUGCCCUUGUCUUUGGGAUAACUUUUGGAAACUGGGGAUCAUACCGGAUAGGAGCUUCUGCUGCAUGGGGGGGGUUGGAAAGUUUCGGCGGUUUGGGAUGGUCUCGCGGCUUAUCCGCUUGUUGGUGGGGUAGUGGCUUACCAAGGCUUUGAAGGGUAGCCGGCCUGAGAGGGUGACCGGCCACAAUAGGACUGAGAGACGGCCCAGACUCCUACGGGCGGCAGCAGUGGAGAAUAUUGCACAAUGGGCGGAAGCCUGAUACAGCAACGCCGCGUGCGGGAUGACGUCCUUCUGGGUAUAAACCGAUUUCGCCUGAGACGAAGCGUGAGUGACGGUAAUUAGUAAAAAAGCACCGGCUAACUACGUG